GUGCUCGCUUUGGCAGCACACUAAGACUGGAACAAUGCAAAGAGGGUUAGCUUGGCUCCUGUGCAAGGGUGACACUCGAAUCUGUGAAGUAGUCCAUUUUUUC